AUACCUGGAAGAGGAGAUACCAUGAUCACAAAAGUGGUUUCCCCAGGGCAAGGCUUAUCCACUGCACUCCGGAUGCGGACGCGCUGACCCCCGCAACUUCCCCAAAUGUGGGAAACUCAGCUGCAUAGUUUGUGGUAGUGGGGGACUGUAUUCCCGCUCUCGCCUG